UACGAAGGGUGCUAGCGGUGUUCGGAAUUACUGGGCGUAAAGCGCACGUAGGCGGAUUUGUUAGUCAGGGGUGAAAUCCCGGGGCUCAACCUCGGAACUGCCUUUGAUACUGCAAAUCUCGAGUCCGGAAGAGGUGAGUGGAAUUCCUAGUGUAGAGGUGAAAUUCGUAGAUAUUAGGAAGAACACCAGUGGCGAAGGCGGCUCUCUGGUCCGGCACUGACGCUGAGGUGCGAAAGCGUGGGGAGCAAACAGG
rnacentral:rRNA from 1 species